CCUGAGCCACCCGGCUUGGGACGCUGGGACGCUGGGGCCCCUGGGCCUUGGGCUCAGGCUCCGGUCAUACGGGCUUUUCCCCUGCUCCGGCCUCGCCGCCGGGCCCUCCUCGUCUCUGAGGAGGGGGCGGGCCACAGGACUCAGGGCUGGGAGUUCAGACAGGUGGAGUCAACACCAUCAGUAGCCAAUCUGGACCUGAAUCGGCACAGAGGAGACCUCAAGUUCUUUUCAUCUUUUUGACUCCAGCCAUGUCCAUGAUGCCCAACCUGUGAAGGUCCCUUACCAGCUAGAAACGAGAUGUCCCUGCUCUUUUCUCGAUGCAACUCCAUCGUCACCGUCAAGAAGGAUAAGCGACACAUGGCUGAGGUGAAUGCUUCCCCUCUCAAGCACUUUGUCACUGCCAAGAAAAAGAUCAAUGGCAUCUUUGAGCAGCUGGGGGCCUACAUCCAAGAGAGUGCCGGCUUCCUUGAAGACACCCACAGGAAUACAGAACUGGACCCAGUUACUACAGAAG
rnacentral:lncRNA from 1 species